rnacentral:lncRNA from 1 species
CUGUUUUGAAUCUUUGGCAUCUUCAGGGAUGGAUGGAAUCCUACAACUGAGGGAGACUGCGGUCUUGGGCGUGAGCAAGUGAGGAAAAGCGUGCUGGAGCGACCAGCAGCAAACCUCCUCAGAGAGGUGACGCCAGCUUCUUGGUUUUCACCUUAGGUCUGUUCCUCCAAGCCGGGGUGCCUUUCCCUCAUUUACGCUCCUGAGGGAUGCUCUGCUUGUAACCUUCCGCAGGGUUCCCGCGCGCGCUCCACACCUUUCCCAGUUGUGGUUUACACCCCACUGACUUCUCUCAUCACAUCCGUGUCUCCAUCACCAUCAGAUACUUUUCUCAGUGCGUCUGAAAAUGAUGGGAAAGGCUCUCAAGCAGCCUAACGAGCACACUACCACCAGCACCCUUCACAAACUGAGCCCAGAACUUUCUUGAAGAAAGGAUGCUGCUGGUCUCCCAGACCUUCCUGCUCAAAACCAUAAGUUGGAAACACUCUGCAACGUGCUGCAAAAUUAAUCUACCUACGGCUCUGCUGGCACACCCAGAUGUCCUGAAACUUUCCCGAGUGUGUUCGGAGCAGCCACUUGGAAUCAUCCAGAGUCUGCCUUCUACAUGAGACCUGUCUGUCUCACCUGUACUUGGGAUGAAGUCUCCAUAUGCCAGAUAUAGGACUCCCUGAACCAUGUCCUGCGAGGCCAGUCUAGUAGAGCGCCUGCCCCUGGCUCAGCGCCCGGUGCCAACAGAACACCUUCAGGAUUCACAGCAACGCAGAAACCAUGUCCAGGACCCCGGCCUCUGCUUGGAACGGAAUGGUGUCAUGGCGGAGACAACGGCCUUUGUCUUGCUGGGUGUGAAAACAUCCGCCGUGCUGGCUCUUCCACUGCGGCAGAAUCAAGUUUAAAUGAAAAAAGUGAUUAAA